rnacentral:tRNA from 1 species
GCGCGCGUGGCGGAACUGGCAGACGCGCCAGGUUUAGGUCCUGGUGGGAAACCGUGGGGGUUCGAGUCCCUCCGCGCGCACCA